rnacentral:tRNA from 2 species
AGUCCCGAGGUGUUUUACAUAUCGGAUUGCAAAUCCGAAGAGGUAGGCUAGUCGCCUACCGGGGCUU